GAUGAACGCUGGCGGCGUGCUUAACACAUGCAAGUCGAACGGAAAGGCCACAGCUUGCUGUGGUACUCGAGUGGCGAACGGGUGAGUAACACGUGGGUGAUCUGCCCUGUACUUCGGGAUAAGCUUGGGAAACUGGGUCUAAUACCGGAUAGGAAUCACAUGUGGGUGUGUGGUUGGAAAGCUUUUGCGGUAUGGGAUGAGCUCGCGGCCUAUCAGCUUGUUGGUGGGGUAAUGGCCUACCAAGGCGUCGACGGGUAGCCGGCCUGAGAGGGUGUACGGCCACAUUGGGACGGAGAUACGGCCCAGACUCCUACGGGAGGCAGCAGUGGGGAAUAUUGCACAAUGGGCGCAAGCCUGAUGCAGCGACGCCGCGUGGGGGAUGACGGCCUUCGGGUUGUAAACUCCUUUCGUCAGGGACGAAGCGAAAGUGACGGUACCUGGAUAAGAAGCACCGGCUAACUACGU
rnacentral:rRNA from 1 species